AGAGUUUACAAUUUUAGAGAGUAAUCUGGUUUGCCUGAACUCCUUGUUGAACUAUCUCUCUACUAAUUCCAGAAACCUCUGUCUGUCGGUCGUUGUCAUAUCUCGAGAACAGUUCAUCUUAUCGGCUUCACACUUGUUAAUUGUGUUUAUUAAGUGCAGUGUGUAAUUUGUGUUGAAACUUAAGUGACGUUGUUGAUCACAGCAACAUUUGUUUCUUCAGUUGGGGUUUUUACUCGCCUCGACUCAAUGGUACAGUUUCAGGAGGGGGAAACGGGAACAGUCAUGAGCACACGUCAAGCAAACAACAGGCGUGUUUAGAACGUGCAGUCGUGCACUGCACUAGUUCACAUCAAGUUUCUGAUGUGCAACACUGACAGGCUUUUGGCAAACUAACUUUCUUCAAUGAUUUACUUCACUUGAGCGAUGUUCCAAUCAAAAGGUGGAUUAGUCUUUUCGACUGAAAUGAGUAUGCUGCUCAGCUGGAAUACAAUUGGAUUCAAUCCAUCUCCCAAGGACACGAACCUCUGAAACAACAAUGACCUAAAAUCCACAUUUGCCAAGAUGCAGGGUCCAAAGCAGCGACCUCUUCUUCAAAUGCAGCAUCACUCAGGCGGUCGUCAUCUAUGAUAUCAUUCGUCAACUCCAGAGGAAGAGGAGGGUUUUCUUUACCAGCCUCAGACUCUGUCUCUGACUGAGAAUCGUCAUUUUCUCCUUGGGUUGAGGACUCAGCCACAUCAGGCAUCUCAGAAAGAGGGUGGCUGCUCUCGCUCGGCUCUAUAGCAGCGUGCGCUUUGCCCUCACUCCAUCCUACAUCUCCUGCAACCGGCAUAAUGAGGCCGCCCUGCGAGCGCUGAGCCCUUCGACUGAUGUGCUCCAGCAGGUCUGAGGCCUGCUCACCUUCCUCCCCCUCCUCUUGCUCAUCUUCAACCACAGACUUGACUUCCUCAAAUUGAGAAUUGGCUGCAGGUUCUUCUUGGUCACUUUGAUAUUCCUCUUCAUCACCCGCUGCCUCCGACUGAGACCCAGCUUCAACAGCCUCCUCAGACUGAGAAUCAAUGGCCCCUUCCUCUUCCUCUGUUUGAGAGUCAGGUAUAACCUCCUCUUCCUCAGACAUAGCUGCAACAUCCUCUUCAGGCUGAGAAUCCACUACAUCUUCUUCCUCAGUUUGAGACUCAGGUGCAACCUCCUCUUCCUCUUCCUCAGACAUGGCUGCAACAUCCCCUUCAGGCUGAGAAUCCACUACAUCUUCUUCCUCAGUUUGAGACUCAGGUGCAACCUCCUCUUCCUCUACCUCAGACAUGGCUGCAACAUCCCUUUCAGGCUGAGAAUCCACUACAUCUUCUUCCUCAGUUUGAGACUCAGGUGCAACCUCCUCUUCCUCUUCCUCAGACAUGGCUGCAACAUCCCCUUCAGGCUGAGAAUCCACUACAUCUUCUUCCUCAGUUUGAGACUCAGAGUAUUGGCCAUCAGAUGAAUUCUUCAUCUCCACCUCUUCAACUGUACCCACAUCUUUCUCUGACUGAUCCUCAGAAACACCUUCUUCACUCUGAAGUUCAGCUGCACUCCCUCCCUCGGUUGGCUCCAUGUCUCUCGUCUCUCCUUUGUCCUGUGUUGCAACGAUGGACGAGCUGGAUGUGAUGGAAUUAGGUUCUGUGUAGAGGGCGGUGUUACAGUGGACGAUAUCUGUUGAGAUAUCAGGUUCACUGACAACACUUAGGCCCAGGUUGAAGCCCUCAGAGUAGGUGGUCAUAUCCGGAUCCUGUGGUUGGUCUAGGCGAUAAAAGAAAAUCAAUAACUGUUGACACAUACAUUUUAUCACUAACUAAUAAAUGAAUAAUCAGUGCUCUCUUCAACUUGUUAUACAUACAAUAUGAAAUGGGGGGAAAAAUAGAACAUUUGCUAGGUUAAGAAAAGCUAUUUAAUCACCAUGAUCGCCUCCCAUAUGCCAUUUAUUUACACCAGCACCGAAUUCUUCUUCUGUGAUUUGUCUACGGCUGGCCACUCUCCUCUGCAGACCCCUUCUCUCAGACCGCAUGUCCACAAAGGGGGUUUUCAAACCCAAAGAAGUGGAGCUUCAAACAGAGCAAAGAGACAAUACAGUCAAUUAGAUACUCACUGUUAACAGGAAUACCUAAUUACCAGAAGUCAACUUUCUAUAUGUGAAAUGUUACCUUGUUAAGGAAAGUGAUGAAUGAUCACAUAUCGAGGCUUCACUUUCUUCUCCAACAUCUGUAAACAUAAGGAUCUGUCAGCUAAUCAAUAAAACAGUUUUCUGAUGCA